GAUCCUGGCUCAGGAUGAACGCUGGCGGCGUGCUUAACACAUGCAAGUCGAACGAGGAAUUUUAAAUGAGACUUCGGUGGAUUUUGGAAUACCGAGUGGCGGACGGGUGAGUAACGCGUGGGCAACCUGCCCUGUACAGGGGGACAACAGCUGGAAACGGCUGCUAAUACCGCAUAAGCGCACGGUAUCGCAUGAUACAGUGUAGAAAACUCCGGUGGUACAGGAUGGGCCCGNGUUGGAUUAGGUUAGG
rnacentral:rRNA from 1 species